CAGUAUUUGGGUUUUAGCCGGUUCUGGAUGUUAAUGCUCCGUUCCGGAAUCCACACCGCCACACGCGUAGCGUAUACCAUCACCGCCCUUUUAUUCUUCUUUCGAUCUCUGGAAACUGAACAGUUUCUUCUCAUAAAAACGAUGAAGUUUAACCCUAACAGUUUCUCUUCUUCAUUCUAUUAAUUUUAGGGUUCCUUUCUUCCUUCUUCUCCCAUUUGUUUCAAUCCAUAGUUCAGGACUUUAAGCAAUUCUCAAUCCAAAUAAGAUGAUACAUUCCUCGAUUUCUCUCCCUUACAUCCACCUCGAUUACCGGAAAAAAUAGAGGCAAAAUUGGAAUCCUACCGAGCGUUUAAGAACACCGAAGUCUAACUGGCUCUCACACAUUAUCUCCACCGUUUUCAACUUGCUCUACGGGUGCUCAUCCAUCAAUGAAAACUCUUAUCUGUUUCAUUCAUCACACCGUCUUGUCAAUGAUUUUGAAUAAACGCAUUAUCCACUGUUCAGUUUUCGAUACGCUUUAGAUAAUCAAUUGAUUAUGUGCUGAAUUCAGUUCAUUCACUUGAUUUCUUAUUUUGUGCAGGCAACAUGUAUUGCAGUUGUCAAUCCCUUUACAGAUCACACCAGUUUCCUCACCGGUUCAAGGGCUUCUAUAUCUGUCAUAUGGAGAUUAAUUGUCAAUGCAUAGUAACAAGGUUUGAUUUUACAAGAAAUCGAAGAUAUGGUCUGGUAGUAAAAAAAAACCUCUAAUGGCGUUGGCACCUAUUCAUCUUCUUCUGCACCCAAAACAAAUUUGUCUUGAUGUAAUUUUAACUACUAUCACCCCAAGCAGCUCAAAGGAAAAAUUCACUUUGCUUCAUUAGUCGAAAAACACACAAAUCGAUUACAAAUUCAUCAGAUUUUAGUUUUGAUCACAUCUUGAAGGUCACAGGAGUUUUGGGUCUGUUUCUGGUUCCAUCUUAGCAAGAUGAUUGAUUAGAGGUGGGAGAAGGAAGCUAGGGCAUCGAGGAUUAACUAGUUUAAAAAGAUCUGAAGAGAGAGAUAUAAUGACAUUGCGUUUGGUGGUGAUGUCGAUGGUGAUUUGAAGAACACUAUGAAUCUAAAGAAAACAUGGCUUCCUUGUAUGAUUUUGAUAUGUUUGUUCAAGUAAAUUUAAUUGAAAUUAUGUACUGUAAUCAUUUUUUUAAAACUUUUUUCAUUCAUUUUUUUUUUUGUAAAAUAUUAAAAACUAGCAUCAGGUUAAGGUUCAAAGUUUUUGUUU